GUGCAUAGGUCCUCAACAUGAGAUGGAGCUGGAUCAUCCUCUUCCUGGUGACAGCAGCCACAGGUGUCCACUCUGAGAUCCAGCUGCAGCAGUCUGGGGCUGAGCUGGUGAAGCCUGAUUCCUCAGUGAAGCUGUCCUGCAAGGCUUCAGGCUACACCUUCAGUAGCUAUAUUAUGCACUGGAUGAAGCAGAAGCCUGGGCAGGGCCUGGAGUGGGUUGGAUAUGUUUAUCCUGGAAAUGGUGGUACUAAAUAUGCCGAGAAUUUCAAGGGCAAGGUCACACUGACUGCAGACACAUCCUCCAGCAUAGCCUACAUGGAGCUCAGCAGCCUGACAUCUGAGGACUCUGCAGUCUAUUACUGUGCAACACACGGUGUUGCAGCCACAUCCUGA